UCUCUCUCUCUCUCUCUCUCUUCCUUCGAGCUCAGAUCGUCGGUGAAGCGCCGCUGCCCCGGCCUCGUCGCCUCCGCCAUCUCCUGCUUCACCCCUCGCCGCGACUUUAGCCUCCGCCCGCCACCAAUUCCUUCAAAGCAGAAGAGGAUGAGUGCGGUGGCGCUUCGAGUUCCGUGAGGUUUUCCCCCUUUGCCGCCAGCGAUUCGGCGUCCUUGUUGCCGAUUUUCAAUUUUCCGGUCAUCUUCUACGCAGAUCUAGGGUUGAGCUUGAAGUGGAGGCACGACGGUGGCACAAUUCAGAGGUGAGAAAUUUCUGGCGAAGCCUUUCUCUCUCUGGCAGUGGUGGUUCUUCAAUUGGGACUUCCUCUCACAUUGGCUGCUCCUGGUAAUUUCCUUACCCAUUACUUUAUUUUUGCUAUUUCUGGGUCUGCGUGUGUGUAUAGACUAGGAAAAUGAAUACUAGUUUUAUUCUGCUCUGUAAUGCCGGAAUUGAUUUUGUGUAAAUUUGGGUGCAUGGUUGAGUGGUUAAUUGGUGAAAUGGGAAGCUUGGGAUUUUCUGGUUUUGGUUUAACUUAUGCUGGAAUUUGCAUUUCACAUUUUCUUUUUUAGGUUUUGGAUUUGAAGUGGAAAUGACAUUAUCCUCAUUUCACGUUAUUUUGCGGCUUUGGAUUUGAAAUGUAAAUGAUUGGUGCCAUUAUCUGUAAAUUGGUGAGUCACGAGGUUGUUAGCACUGUGAAUUUGGAGGUGAUUGAGAAGAAUCUAUGAGUUGCUCUUGCAUGCUUAGAAUACUGAUUUAGAAUAAACUGAUGAAAGAUUUUUGAUGUCUUAGAAUACCACAUUUACAUAGUAAUAGACAUCAACUUGCAAAAUCUUGGGAAUUGUAAAAAAACAUAGCAAAAACCCGGAUAAUUCAUAAUGCAGCUAGGCAGACUGAUAGUUUUCUCGCAGUUUUCUUCUUUAUGUGUGCCUGAGGUUUUGGAAGAGAGUUGAGAUAGAAGAUGAAUUCAUCAGAGCAUCAUAACUUGUGCUAUGAUUAAUCUGAAACGAGAGCUUAAUUUGUAGAUUGUGAUGAUGUCUUUGUACUUGUGUUUAUGCAGAUUACCCCUUGGACUUAAGCCGGUCUAAUUUCACACUAGCCGCCUCCCUGUGCUCCAAUCCGGCAGAGAGAGGGAGGUGUCGUUCAGGCGGAUGACGCUGCUGGAGGAGGACAACUGGAGGGUCGAGAGCGCCGCCGUGAUGGAGUUUGAGGAUGACCUGCACGGUGUCGAAACACAGAGGAGGCAUAGGAGAAGGAGUUUGUAGCGGGAGCCAUCGCUUCCAGACUGCUAAAUUAAUUGCUCUGAUUUGGUUUUUGUGUGUAAAGUAGUAACUAAAAUGAAUUCAAGAAUUUAUAUAAUUCUGUCCUUGAUCCUUUCUUCUUUGUUUCUGUUACCAAAAGAUUUGCCAUAUUUUACG
rnacentral:lncRNA from 1 species